rnacentral:rRNA from 1 species
UGAGGUUAAGUUAACAAGGGCGCAUGGUGAAUGCCUUGGCACUAGGAGCCGAUGAAGGACGGGACUAACACCGAUAUGCUUCGGGGAGCUGUACGUAAGCUAUGAUCCGGAGAUUUCCGAAUGGGGCAACCCAGCAGUUUUAAUCAACUGUUACCACUAGAUGAAUUCAUAGUCUAGUUGGAGGUAAACGCUGUGAACUGAAACAUCUCAUUAGCAGCAGGAAUAUAAAGAAAUU